CACGUGGGGAACCUGCCCCAUAGUCUGGGAUACCACUUGGAAACAGGUGCUAAUACCGGAUAAGAAAGCGGAUCGCAUGAUCAGCUUUUAAAAGGCGGCGUAAGCUGUCGCUAUGGGAUGGCCCCGCGGUGCAUUAGCUAGUUGGUAAGGUAAAGGCUUACCAAGGCGAUGAUGCAUAGCCGAGUUGAGAGACUGAUCGGCCACAUUGGGACUGAGACACGGCCCAAACUCCUACGGGAGGCAGCAGCG
rnacentral:rRNA from 1 species